UAUGAGAAUCCCCAUUCGUGGAUUUAGUGGUUGAGAAUUCAUUGCUUAUGAUGAUGGAAAUAAUGUUUGGUGAUGCGAGAAAAGGUAAAAGAAAAGGACAAAGAGGAGAAGUCAGGUAGUAAGAAAAGAUAUCCCUUAAACGAGUUUGGCUAGGCAACCAACUGUUUGAGUCUCUUAGUGGACUCAAACAGGGGUUUUUUAGUAAUUUCAACUUUGAGAUAAUAAGAUGGAGAGGAGUGUGUACACGCGCGUGUGAGAAAGAAACCAAACACUCUGUUCUCUCUCCUUCCUCAGUACGCCAGUUUUUCUCUCUCUCACUUCAACUCUCUCUCCCUCCAUCUUCAACCCUUUCUUUCUCAAAACUCCAUUUUUUCAGAGGUUUUUAGGGUUUUGCAACCGGGGAAAACAACAUUAUUGUGUCAUCUCGUCGAAUUUCGGAUUAUGGGGAAGAAAGAAAUUGUUUUGGGGAGCAACAAAAGAAAAAACUGUGAUGAAGCUGGCCCUUCUAAGAAGGCGAAGAAGGAAAUAAAAAAUGAAAUCAAAGUAGAAUGCUGCCGAGAGCUUUAGCAUGAGAUUGAGGGAAACACACACAAUAGUUUCCCACUACUUGAACAAAUCCAAUAAAAAGGAGAGUUUAGCAUGAGAAUUUUUGUUUUACUUCAUCAUUGUAGAAAAAUAAUUCUAGUUUUCUUUGUUUUACUUCAUCAUUGUAAAUAAAUAUUAUAAUGUGAUGAUAAAUAAAAUAAUCAUCUAA